rnacentral:lncRNA from 1 species
GGCGUGGUGGCGCACGCCUUUAAUUCCAGCACUUGGGAGGCAGAGGCAGGUGGAUUUCUGAGUUCAAGGCCAGCCUGGUCUACACAGUGAGUCCCAGGACAGCCAGGGCUACACAGAGAAAAUCUCAAAAAAUCAAAAAAAAAAAAAAAAAAAAAAAAAAAAAAAAGAAAAGAAACCCUGACUAAGACAAAUUGGUAUCAGGAGUGGGGUAUUCCUGUGACAACCUUACCAUGUUUUGGGAGGACUGUGGAAGGACUUUGGAACUUUGGGCCAGAAGAUCCAUUCGGUGUUCAGAACUCUGUGAUGACUCUGUGGGAUGCCGUGUAGGAGCUUGGAAGAUAAUGUUGAGAAUAGUACAGAAGAUGGAGGCCUGGCUUGUGAAAUUUCACAGGGAAAAUUAAAGACUCUUUUCAGGGCCAUUACUAUUUUGGAUUGUGAAGAUUCUGUGGUUCUGGUUAGCUAGGGCUAAAGAAUCAGCUGUGAUUAACAAGAUACCAGAACUACUAGAGUGAAAACUUUGCUUUGCUGGAAAUAUUGAUGCUAGUUAGCUGGAGCUAAGAAUUUAGCAGUGAUUAAGAAGAGACCAGCAUCAUUGAGGUGGCAUCUUCUGGGAAGUGUUUUCUGAGAGCACAGAGGCAGUGUUCUAGAGAUAGCAAGGUUUAACAUUUUACUGUGGCUUAACUUGUUAAUGUGUAAGAGUUACCCAGGUGGUACUGGUUUUGAAGGCAUGAAGGAAUCAUGCAGAGCAGCCGAGGCCCAGCCCUGUGAGAGGCCAUGUAUGCCAUUGGUGAAGGUGCAGCCUCAGGUGCAAUUGAUAGCCCAGAAAUUAAGGAGUCAUGCAGUGUUUUGGAGAUGCCAGGACCAUGAAUGACCACCAAGAACAGCAGCAGCAGUAAUGUACAGGCAUCUGGAGCCUAGAGGACAAGCUGUGUGCUACAAAGGACAGGGCUAGAAAAGUGACCCAAGCCCUUGGCGUUGCCCAGAAAUCGUGAGUUGGAUUCCAGACAUUGGACAAUUAGAGUUUAAUUUUUGCUUUUGAUUGUGACUGUGCCCUAAUAUUUUUCCCUCUUGAAGGGAGAAAAUAUUUUAGUGGAUUCUACAGUUAAGAGACUUUUAAUUGUAAAAGGCUUUGGAUUUUAAAGGCUAUUGGAUAUUUUUAAAGGAUUGAACUUUUAAUAUGUAAAGAUUGUGGGACUUUCAAAGUUGUGUAUAUCUUGGGGAUGAAGAAGAAACUAAAGGUUGAGGGUUACUAGUGAUGUGUUUGUGUGUCAAGUUGACAAGGUGUCAAUUGUACUGGUCAGUUUUGUGUCAACUUGACACAAGCUGGAGUUAUCACAGAGAAAAGAGCUUCAGAAAUGCCUCCACCAGAUCCAGCUAUAAGGCAUUUUCUCAAUUAGUGAUCAAGCAGGAAAGACCCCUUGUGGGUGGGACCAUCUCUCUGGGCUGGUAGACUUGGGUUCUAUAAGAGAGCAGGCUGAGCAAGCCAGAGGAAGCAAGCCAGUUAAGACACAUCCAUUCAUGGCCUCUGUAUCAGCUCCUGCUUCCUGACCUGCUUGAGUUCCAGUCCUGACUUCCUUGGAGAUGUAGAGCAGUAUGUAAUCAUAAGCCCAAUAAACCCUUUCCUCCAAAACUUGCUUCUUGGUCAUGAUGUUUGUGCAGGAAUAGAAACCCUGAAUAAGACAAUGGGUAUAAGGUGUGGAUUGUAAAAAUAGAUUAGAC